rnacentral:rRNA from 1 species
UACGUAGGGUGCAAGCGUUGUUCGGAAUUACUGGGCGUAAAGGGCUCGUAGGCGGCCAACUAAGUCCGACGUGAAAUCCCAAGGCUUAACCUUGGAACUGCGUCGGAUACUGGAUGGCUUGAAUUCGGGAGAGGGAUGCAGAAUUCCAGGUGUAGCGGCGAAAUGCGUAGAUAUCGUGAGGAAGACCAGUGGCGAAGGCGGGUCUCUGGACAGUUCCUGACACUGAGGCACGAAGGCCAGGGGAGCAAACGGG